AUUGAACGCUGGCGGCAGGCCUAACACAUGCAAGUCGAGCGGAGCUGCGGACGGGUGAGUAAUGCCUAGGAAUCUGCCUGGUAGUGGGGGAUACCGUCCGGAAACGGACCCUAAUACCGCAUACUAUCAGAUGAGCCUAGGUUGGAUUAGAUAGUUGGUGGGGUAAAGGCCUACCAAGGCGACGAUCCGAAACUGGUCUGAGAGGAUGAUCAGUCACACGGGAACUGAGAAACGGUCCAGAAUCCUACGGGAGGCAGCAGUAGGGAAUAUUGGGCAAUGGGCGAAAGCCUGAUCCAGCCAUGCCGCGUGUGUGAAGAAGGUUUUCGGAUUGUAAAGCUCUUUAAGUUGGGAGGCGUUACCAACAGAAUAAGCAACGGCUAACUUCGUGCCAGCAGCCGCGGUAAUUC
rnacentral:rRNA from 1 species